rnacentral:rRNA from 1 species
CUACGGGCCGCACCAGUGGGGAAUAUUGCACAUGGGCGCAAGCCUGAUGCAGCCAUGCCGCGUGUAUGAAGAAGGCCUUCGGGUUGUAAAGUACUUUCAGCGGGGAGGAAGGGAGUAAAGUUAAUACCUUUGCUCAUUGACGUUACCCGCAGAAGAAGCACCGGCUAACUCCGUGCCAGCAGCCGCGGUAAUACGGAGGGUGCAAGCGUUAAUCGGAAUUAUUGGGCGUAAAGCGCACGCAGGCGGUUUGUUAAGUCAGAUGUGAAAUCCCCGGGCUCAACCUGGGAACUGCAUCUGAUACUGGCAAGCUUGAGUCUCGUAGAGGGGGGUAGAAUUCCAGGUGUAGCGGUGAAAUGCGUAGAGAUCUGGAGGAAUACCGGUGGCGAAGGCGGCCCCCUGGACGAAGACUGACGCUCAGGUGCGAAAGCGUGGGGAGCAAACAGGAUUAGAUACCCUCGUAGUC